ensembl:snRNA U6 U6 spliceosomal RNA
GUGCUUGUUUUGGCAUCAUAUAUACUAAAAUUGGAAUGAUACAGAGAAGAUUUAGCAUGACCCCUGUGUAAAGAUGACAUGCAAAUUCAUUGUAGGUAUGGCGGUGCAUACUUGU